rnacentral:rRNA from 1 species
UACGUAGGGUGCUAGCGUUGUUCGGAAUGACUGGGCGUAAAGGGCGCGUAGGCGGCCGCUUGCGUCGGAUGUGAAAGCCCGGGGCUCAACCCCGGAACGGCAUCCGAUACGGGGCGGCUCGAGACCGAGAGAGGUGAGUGGAAUACCCAGUGUAGAGGUGAAAUUCGUAGAUAUUGGGUGGAACACCGGUGGCGAAAGCGGCUCACUGGCUCGGUUCUGACGCUGAGGCGCGAAAGCGUGGGGAGCAAACAGG